rnacentral:rRNA from 1 species
GUUGUCCGGAAUUAUUGGGCGUAAAGGGCUCGUAGGCGUUUUGUCGCGUCGGGAGUGAAAACCCAGGGCUUAACUCUGGGCUUGCUUUCGAUACGGUCAGACUGGAGGUAUGCAGGGGAGAACGGAAUUCCUGGUGUAGCGGUGAAAUGCGCAGAUAUCAGGAGGAACACCGGUGGCGAAGGCGGUUCUCUGGGCAUGUCCUGACGCUGAGGAGCGAAAGUGUGGGGAGCGAACAGG